rnacentral:tRNA from 1 species
AGUCUUAUAGUUUAGGAAAAUUUCAAAUUGCAAAUUUGAGGACGGGUUGUACCCUAAGGCUU